UGGGGAAUUUUGGACAAUGGGCGCAAGCCUGAUCCAGCCAUUCCGCGUGCAGGACGAAGGCCUUCGGGUUGUAAACUGCUUUUGUACGGAACGAAAAGGCUCUGGCUAAUACCUGGGGCUCAUGACGGUACCGUAAGAAUAAGCACCGGCUAACUACGUGCCAGCAGCCGCGGUAAUACGUAGGGUGCAAGCGUUAAUCGGAAUUACUGGGCGUAAAGCGUGCGCAGGCGGUUAUGUAAGACAGAGGUGAAAUCCCCGGGCUCAACCUGGGAAAUGCACUUGUGACUGCAUGACUAGAGUGCGUCAGAGGGAGGUGGAAUUCCGCGUGUAGCAGCGAAAUGCGUAGAGAUGCGGAGGAACACCGAUGGCGAAGGCAGCCUCCUGGGAUGACACUGACGCUCAUGCACGAAAGCGUGGGGAGCAAACA
rnacentral:rRNA from 1 species